GUGCUUGCUUUGGCAGCACAUAUACUAAAAAUUGGAAUGAUACAGAGAAGAUCAGCAUGGCCUCUGCACAAGGAUGAUACUCAAAUUUGUGAAGCAUUCCAUAUUUUU